rnacentral:tRNA from 1 species
GGAUGUAGCUCAGUUGGAAGAGUGCUUGACAAGCAUGCACAAGGCCCUGGGUUCAAUUCCCAGCACCA